rnacentral:rRNA from 1 species
GAUGAACGCUGGCGGCAGGCCUAACACAUGCAAGUCGAGGGGUAGAGGAAGCUUGCUUCCUUGAGACCGGCGCACGGGUGCGUAACGCGUAUGCAAUCUACCUUUUACAGAGGGAUAGCCCAGAGAACUUUGGAUUAAUACCUCAUAGUAUUUUCGAAUGGCAUCAUUUGAUUAUUAAAGUUCCAACGGUAAAAGAUGAGCAUGCGUCCUAUUAGCUAGAUGGUAAGGUAACGGCUUACCAUGGCAACGAUAGGUAGGGGUCCUGAGAGGGAGAUCCCCCACACUGGUACUGAGACACGGACCAGACUCCUACGGGAGGCAGCAGUGAGGAAUAUUGGACAAUGGGCGCAAGCCUGAUCCAGCCAUGCCGCGUGCAGGAAGACGCAUCUAUGGUGUGUAAACUGCUUUUGUACGGGAAGAAACACUCCCUCGUGAGGGAGCUUGACGGUACCGUAAGAAUAAGGAUCGGCUAACUCCGUGCCAGCCGCCGCAGUAACAC